GUGCCAGCAGCCUCGGUGAUUCCAGCUCCAAUAGCGUAUAUUAAAGGUGUUGUGGGGGGGGAAGCUCGUAGUUGAACCUUGGGCCUGGCUGGCCGGUCCGCCUCACCGCGUGCACUGGUCCGGCCGGGCCUUUCCCUCUGUGGAACCCCAUACCCUUCACUGGGCGUGGCGGGGAAACAGGACAUUUACUUUGAAAAAAUUAGAGUGCUCCAGGCAGGCCUAUGCUCGAAUACAUUAGCAUGGAAUAAUAAAAUAGGACGCGCGGUUCUAUUUUGUUGGUUUAUAGGACCGCCGUAAUGAUUAAUAGGGACAGUCGGGGGCAUCAGUAUUCAACUGUCAGAGGUGAAAUUCUUGGAUCAGUUGAAGACUAACUACUGCGAAAGCAUUUGCCAAGGAUGUUUUCAUUAAACAGGAACGAAAGUUAGGGGAUCGAAAGACGAUCAGAUACCGUCGUAGUCUUAACCAUAAACUAUGCCGACUAGGGGAUCGGGACGGUGUUAUUCAUGACCCGCUCGGCACCUUACGAGAAAUCAAAGUGCUUGGGCUCCAGGGGAGUAUUGUCGCAAGGGUGAUACUUUAAAGAAUUUGAUGGAAGGGCGCACCCGGGGGGGGAGCCUGCGGGUCUAUUUGACUCACACCGGGAAACUCGCCCCGGUCCCGAGCACGAAAAAGAUUGACAGAUUGAGAGCCCUUUCUUGAUUUUUUGCGUGGGGGUGGCGUGGCCGCUCCUCGCCUUGGAUGGGUGGAUUGCUGGCUUUAUUUUAUAAACGAAAAGAAAUGAUUAACUAGCAGAUAACGCCCCUGUGUUUCCACGGGCCGGCGUGAGUUUUUUGAGAAGGAUUUUCCUCUCAGCCCCAACAGAAAUUAUAGAGAAAAUAAAGAGCACUUGUAAGCCCCUUUAAAAUUACUUGGGACGGCCAACAAGACGAUCACCUGUU
rnacentral:rRNA from 1 species